GACGGGGGAUGCAAGUGUUAUCCGGAAUCACUGGGCGUAAAGCGUCUGUAGGUGGUCAAAUAAGUCAACUGUUAAAUCUUGAAGCUCAACUUCAAAAUCGCAGUCGAAACUACUAGACUAGAGUAUAUUAGGGGUAAAGGGAAUUUCCUGUGGAGCGGUGAAAUGCGUAGAUAUUGGAAGGAACACCAAAGGCGAAGGCACUUUACUGGGCUAUUACUGACACUGAGAGACGAGAGCUAGGGGAGCAAAUGGG
rnacentral:rRNA from 1 species